UACAUGGGGUGCAAACGUUGCUCGGAAUUAUUGGGCGUAAAGCGCACGUAGGCGGUUCGUUAAGUCGGAUGUGAAAGCCCUCGGCUCAACUGAGGAAGUGCACCCGAAACUGGCGAGCUUGAGUACGAAAGAGGAUCGCGGAAUUCCCGGUGUAGAGGUGAAAUUCGUAGAUAUCGGGAGGAACACCAGUGGCGAAGGCGGCGACCUGGGCCAAUAUUGACGCUGAGGUGCGAAAGCGUGGGGAGCAAACAGG
rnacentral:rRNA from 1 species